rnacentral:rRNA from 1 species
CCGGAUUAGAUACCCGGGUAGUCCUAGGUGUAAACGCUGUGGACUUGAUGUUGGGGGCGCUCCGAGCGCUCUCAGUGUCGAAGCGAAGGUGAUAAGUCCACUGCCUGGGGAGUACGGUCGCAAGGCUGAAACUUAAAGGAAUUGGCGGGGGAGCACCGCAACCUGAGGAUUGUGCGGUUUAAUUGGAUUCAACGCCGGAAAACUCACCAUGGCCGACGGACAAAUGAAAGCCAGUGUAACGAGCUUGCUGGAUUGUUCGAGAGGUAUUGCAUGGCCGCCGUCAGUUCGUACCGCAAGGCGUUCUGUUAAGUCAGAUAACGAACGAGACCCUCAUCCCUAUUUGCCAAGGUCUGUCCGCAGAUCACGGGACUAUAGGGAGACCGCUGGCGCGAAGUCAGAGGAAGGCGAGGGCAACGGUAGGUCAGUAUGAUCCGAAUGUCAUGGGCUACACGCGCAAUACAAAGGACGGGACAAUGGGCUGCUACUCCGAGAGGAAGAAGCUAUCCCGAAACCCGUUCGUAGUUCGGAUUGGGGGCUGUAACCCGCCCCCAUGAAGCUGGAUUAGGUAGUAAUCGCGUCUCAAAAAGGCGCGGUGAAUAUGCCCCUGCUCCUUGCACACACCGCCCGUCAAAC